UACGUAGGGGGCAAGCGUUGUCCGGAAUUAUUGGGCGUAAAGAGCUCGUAGGCGGUGUGUCGCGUCGGCCGUGAAAACCUGCAGCUUAACUGUGGGCUUGCGGUCGAUACGGGCAUCACUGGAGUUCGGCAGGGGAGACUGGAAUUCCUGGUGUAGCGGUGGAAUGCGCAGAUAUCAGGAGGAACACCUAUAGCGAAGGCAGCUUGCUGGGACGUUACUGACGCUAAGGCGCGAAAGCGUGGGGAGCGAACAGG
rnacentral:rRNA from 1 species